rnacentral:rRNA from 1 species
AGUCCGAUUUAGCCAUGCUAGUUGUACGAGUUUAGACUCGUAGCAGAUAGCUCAGUAACACGUGGCCAAACUACCCUCUGGAGCGCGACAACCUCGGGAAACUGAGGCUAAUCGUGCAUACCGCUCUCAGGCUGGAACUGCCGAAAGCUCCAAACGCCCCCGGCCCCGAAGGAUGGGGCUGCGGCCGAUUAGGUAGACGGUGGGGUAACGGCCCACCGUGCCAGUAAUCGGUACGGGUUGUGAGAGCAAGAGCCCGGAGACGGUAUCUGAGACAAGAUACCGGGCCCUACGGGGCGCAGCAGGCGCGAAACCUUUACACUGCACGCCAGUGCGAUAAGGGGACUCCAAAGUGCGAGGGCAUAGAGCCCUCGCUUUUCUGUACCGUAAGGUGGUACAGGAAUAAGUGCUGGGCAAGACCGGUGCCAGCCGCCGCGGUAAUACCGGCAGCACGAGUGAUGGCCGCUCUUAUUGGGCCUAAAGCGUCCGUAGCUGGCCGCGCAAGUCCAUCGGGAAAUCCGCACGCUUAACGUGCGGGCGUCCGGUGGAAACUGCGUGGCUUGGGACCGGAAGAUCCAGAGGGUACGUCCGGGGUAGGAGUGAAAUCCUGUAAUCCUGGACGGACCACCGGUGGCGAAAGCGGCUCGGAAAGGAGGGAUCCGACGGUGAGGGACGAAAGCUCGGGUCACGAAACCGGAUUAGAUACCCGGGUAGUCCGAGCUGUAAACGAUGUCUGCUAGGUGUGCCACAGGCUACGAGCCUGUGGUGUGCCGUAGGGAAGCCGUGAAGCAGACCGCCUGGGAAGUACGUCCGCAAGGAUGAAACUUAAAGGAAUUGGCGGGGGAGCAC